UGGAGUGUUUUGCAAGGAUUACUUAAUUUUCAAUGCUCUAUACAAAAAAUUAAGUUCUAUACAGAGAAGGAGCUGCCAGCAGGGUGUUCUCCAAGAAGGCUCUGGGACUGUGGAACUUUCUCCCCACCUUGGUUCAAAUCAGCCCAGAGCUGAUGGAUUUUCAGGCUGGAACUGUCAAAGCCUGUUCAGCCCUGGGGAAAGAGGCAUUUGUUAUACUCUAAGACAGCAGAAGGACAAGGAACUCUAGAACACACAGGUCAUUGAUAAAAAAUUUAAAUAGCACAGGGCCAAGAACUGAUCUUUGCGGGAUCCCAUGGGAAGUACACCCUCUUGAUGACGAUUCCUCAGUUACAACUACAUUUUGGGACCUAUCAGACAGUUUUUAAUCCAUUUAAUA